AUUGGGGGUCGUCUCGGAGGAAAAGAAAUUGCACGCGCCGAAUCUAUUAAAAAGGGUAGACUUCCCCUCCAAACAAUUCGCGCUAAAAUUGAUUAUUGCUGCUAUCCAAUUCGGACUAUCUAUGGAGUAUUAGGGUGUUAA
rnacentral:rRNA from 1 species